CUUAUAAAUACGAGUUGUAUAGUUAGAAUCAUUUUAUUUCUUUAUAUUAUCAGCUGUUAUUCUUAAUAAUUUAAGUAACAUAUGCUCAUCAAAAUUAAGUUUCCAAAUCGUCGACAAUUUUAGAAGGUGGUUUGUUCUUAAGUCUUCACAACUUCCCAUUGAAUACCUUUGGUCAAUUCUCUAGGAGCUGCUACAAGCAACUUCCCACAGAACCAUAGACGACUUCUUAAACUCCCCUAACCUGCAGGACUCGUUUCGUGUUUUGAAAACUUCAUUUCCUUAAACCAGUAGUGUAAUAAUGUCAAAUUAUGCAUUUUAAUAUAUUUUUAUUAAUGAAAAUAAUAAGUAAUUACUAAAACACAUAUAGCAUUUUGAUGCAUAUCUGUGUAUUACAUCUCAUCACGUAACUCACUCUUUCAAGAAAUAAAGGGGAUCUUGCAAGAAAGCAUGUUUAUUAAAGGGGUGUGGAUGACAAAAGUUUGAGAAAUGUUGCCUCAACCCAAUUUUAGGAUGCAAGUUUAAAUUAUUAUAAAUUAAAAAAUUGAGUGAAUUGUUUUAAACUUUCCAAAUUACACUUGCAUCACAUUAUUCUGCAUAGAAAUGUAAGCAGAUUGAGAUAUAUUCAUAAUUUCAUUAACCACUGUACGUUUAGAUUUUGUUUUAAUUUGCAUAAUCGACUUAGCAUCACUGUUUUGUGCUCAGUUUCCUGUUUGCUGUAUUAGAUGCUUACUACAAAAUUAAAUUUGUUUAUCAGA
rnacentral:misc_RNA from 1 species